rnacentral:misc_RNA from 1 species
AACUCUCAUUAUUCUAAAGCUUUUGGCUAUAGAAAAUGGACAUGGGCUUGCAAGAUAAAAACUUAUUUUGCUAGUCUAAAAUGCAUUUCUUGAUCUGUUCAUUCGAUUUUGCUUAAUAGUUUUAGCCUUUGCGCUGAAUCUUUGGCUUUAUCAAUGAAUAAACAGCUUCAAGAUUUACGAUAUAAUUGGCCAUGAGCCUUUCAAA